ensembl:snRNA U1 U1 spliceosomal RNA
AUACUUACCUGGCAGUGGAGAUACCAUGAUCACGAAGGUGGUUUUCCCAGGGCGAGGCUUAUCCAUCGCACUCCGGAUAUGCUGACCCCUGCGAUUUUCCCAAAUGUGGGAUACUCGACUGCAUAAUUUGUGGUAGUGGGGGACUGUGCUUGCGCUUUCCCCUG